UCGACAAUUGACCGACAUCCUUAUCAAAUCUUCCUCCACUCAAUCGUUUGAUGCUAAUAAAUCUUCCUAGAGAGGUCUGCUAGGGAGCACAAAAUUGGGGCAAUUGUCUUCAUUAGAGCUUGAUCAUUAUUUGUAUCCCGGAUAAAGGUGAUGAAUCAGGGCCAAUCAUACUUUAUCUGGAUUUUUAUAUGCGAUAUUUGAAGCAGCAAGCAUCUUUGGCAAAUAGAUCGUUAUCCAAGUAUAAUUUUUUUAAUACAUAUUUCUACAAGAAGCUUCAGGAUUCUGUUUCGGUUAAGAUAAUAUAUUAUCUUUAUGCACAUGCAUAGCUGUAUAUUUAAUUCAAUCUUUGGAAAGAGCUCAAGAAGG